UCAAACUUGGUCAUUUAGAGGAAGUAAAAGUCGUAACAAGGUAUCCGUAGGUGAACCUGCGGAUGGAUCAUUACAGAGCUGAGGCAGAUCGCUCAAAGACUGUCUUACCUUUGUGGUUAACGCAUGUAUAAUGGGUGUGCGUGUGCGGUUUGUAGUCCACGGACGGCGCACGCGCAUCACUAGCCAACCUUAUCAUCAUCAUCAUUAGCAACGUCUGAACAUUCAACCUUUGAAUCUUUACACAACUGCUAGCAACGGAUCACUCGGCUCUCGCAUCGAUGAAGAACGCAGC
rnacentral:misc_RNA from 1 species